rnacentral:misc_RNA from 1 species
AUGGCAGCGCAAGAUGGAUCAA